UACGGAGGGGGCGAGUGUUGUUCGGAAUUACUGGGCGUAAAGGGCGCGCAGGCGGCUUGGCAAGUCGAGUGUGAAAUCCCUUGGCUUAACCGUGGGCUUGCAGCCGAUACGGGCAGGCUAGAGUUCGGUAGGGGAGACUGGAAUUCCUGGUGUAGCGGUGAAAUGCGCAGAUAUCAGGAGGAACACCGGUGGCGAAGGCGGGUCUCUGGGCCGAUACUGACGCUGAGGAGCGAAAGCGUGGGGAGCAAACGGG
rnacentral:rRNA from 1 species